rnacentral:tRNA from 1 species
CCUGAUAGCUCAAUUGGUAAAGAACCUGCCUGCAAUGCAGGAGACCCAGGUUUGAUCCAUGGGUCAGGA